GGUUGCGAUCAUACCAGCAA
rnacentral:rRNA from 1 species